rnacentral:rRNA from 1 species
UACGUAGGGUGCAAGCGUUAAUCGGAAUUACUGGGCGUAAAGCGUGCGCAGGCGGUUUUGUAAGUCUGUCGUGAAAUCCUCGGGCUCAACCUGAGAAUUGCGAUGGAGACUGCAAGGCUAGAAUCUGGCAGAGGGGGGUAGAAUUCCACGUGUAGCAGUGAAAUGCGUAGAUAUGUGGAGGAACACCGAUGGCGAAGGCAGCCCCCUGGGUCAAGAUUGACGCUCAUGCACGAAAGCGUGGGGAGCAAACAGG